AGUGAACGCUGGCGGUAGGCCUAACACAUGCAAGUCGAACGGCAGCACAGUAAGAGCUUGCUCUUACGGGUGGCGAGUGGCGGACGGGUGAGGAAUACAUCGGAAUCUACUUUUUCGUGGGGGAUAACGUAGGGAAACUUACGCUAAUACCGCAUACGACCUACGGGUGAAAGCAGGGGAUCUUCGGACCUUGCGCGAUUGAAUGAGCCGAUGUCGGAUUAGCUAGUUGGCGGGGUAAAGGCCCACCAAGGCGACGAUCCGUAGCUGGUCUGAGAGGAUGAUCAGCCACACUGGAACUGAGACACGGUCCAGACUCCUACGGGAGGCAGCAGUGGGGAAUAUUGGACAAUGGGCGCAAGCCUGAUCAGUCAUACCGCGUGGGUGAAGAAGGCCUUCGGGUUGUAAAGCCCUUUUGUUGGGAAAGAAAAGCAGCAGGUUAAUACCCCGCUGUUCUGACGGUACCCAAAGAAUAAGCACCGGCUAACUUCGUG
rnacentral:rRNA from 1 species